AAGGUUUUAAGAUGAGUAUAUGUUGCAUAAUUUUAAAAAAUCUUUACCGAUGAAGAUGCAUACUAUUUUCUAGACUAGUAGCAGCUGGCAACCUCCCCAAAACGUUUUAUGCAAACUUGUUUAUUGAAAUAGAGCAAGAAUGCAAUCAAAAUAGGAGAUGGGCUUAAAAUAGUGCAUACUACCCAGAGCAGGAGAAGAAAGGAGCUAGAUCUAGUGGGAGCCGGCUUUAAAGCAGGUAAACUGAAUUCCUGUGUAAUGGAAUGAAUGAAUGAAUAAAUAGUUAAUACAAAGGAAGGGGCUUAAUAUUUUUUUCCUCAGUAACCUUUACUGAUGGCAAGUAAAAUACAGCAAGAAGUGCUAAAGGAGGGGGGAGCUCUGUGAAAGAUUCAUUGCAAAGUUGUAGAGACUCCACUUUAAACAAAUCCUUAUAGCCCUUGUUGGCAGCAGCAAAAACAGAAAAUGGGUCAUCCUGUUGUUUUGGCAUCUUCCCUGCCUACUCCCCCCACAGGGCUGAAGUGGUCUGCAUGGUACCAUAUUCCUUUAUGAAUGAACCUGAGAGGCCUUUGUUUACUGGAAGCCUCCAUUUGUCUAAAAAGGGGAGUCUAUUAUAAAAAAAAGAUGUAGAAGACUAUUUUGAGAGAAUAUGGUGCUGAAAAAAUUAUCUGUGCUACUUAGUUUUAAUCUAUAAACUAUUUUAGAGUCCCAAUGACAGGUAAGACAUGCUGCUUUCUUUCUUGUGGAUGUUUAUAAAUUUGUGACAACAAAGGGAAACAUAGCAACAAGACUGACAGCAUGGACUUUUGGAAUAAAUCUGAGUGAUGUCUUAAGCACUUUUUUCCUGAAAGAGAAAAGUGUCUUACUUAAGUGCUAUAUAUACUAUUUGAUGCUCGUAAACCAAAAUAAUGGCAACUAAUGUGCUUUGACAGAAAAAAGGCCCUGGUAACAUCAUGGGGUACUAAAAAGUAUUGUUCCCUUAAGGGGUUUGUUAAGUUUUUUCAGGCGUUAUUACAUAGUGAUUGACAGAUGACAAAGAAGUGGGAGAGACUUUGGGGGAAGUCGGGGAAGAUGGAGAUCGUUAUUUACCUUGCUAUAUUUAAAAACCAGCAAGACAUCAACAGAAAACCUCAGAUCAGUGAAGAGUGGGUUAGGUCAAGAGUAGAAGUAGAUUUGGGGUGAGACAACUUUUGAGUGGAGUGUCAGAGGAAUGAGGAUUCACCAAAUGGAUCAUAGAAGGGUCAGAGCAAUGGGAGAAGGUAAUGACAAGAGCCAGUGGUUAUCAGACUCAUCCAGUGUGUGUUGCAUCAAAAAGCCACCAGGAAGUGAAUAAAAGUGGAGCAGAGCUCCUUAUUUGUCCAGGUAGAGAUUAGUAGAAUGGAGGGGAAGAAAUGGACUGGAGGAAGUAAAGAAUGGAGGUGCUAAUGAACAUAAACAUGCAUAUCAUUUGGUCCGGGAUUUCAGAGAAAGGAGAUGAUUGGAAAGGCAGCUGAAGGUAAGGGCAAAAUUUAAAGAGCAGGGAUACUACAAAUGGUCAUUGUGAAGGGAGACCAGAAAGGUUGUAGAGGGCCAUGGAGGUAAAAGGAAGUACUAGAAAAGGACAAGAAACUUCAUAGGGAGGUGGAGGGAUCUUGUUAACUUCCUUUUAAAAGGUCAGCAUCUUGCAUCAACAUGGGAAAGAUAUAAAAAAGCAAGUUGGAAGCAAUGAAGAGGUAGCUUGGAUUAUAGCUUUGAGAUUAAGCGUAUUGUAUUCAUGAACAACUAAUACACUGCCCCUUUUUAAGAGGGAAACUUAGCUACUGCUUCUUGCUCUGUGUGCUCAGCUGAGUUGCUGAAUGCAGUGUGUAUUUGAAGUCUGGUUAAUAAAAGGUCUAUUUUGUUUACCAUA